rnacentral:lncRNA from 1 species
UUCAGACGCCAACCUAAGCAUCUUUAUUUAUACUCUUUCAUUCAUUUUCUGUUACCCUUUUCUUAGUUGUAUACUUUCUCUAUUGAAAAAACCAUGUGUUGAUGCAUAUCUCUCUGCUAAUUAAAGUUUUCAUCUUCUACAAAGAACAAGGUAAAGCAAGAAAGCCAAGUAUCUUUCUUUCUCCGUCUCUGUGUGUUGUUAGUUACUUUUCCACUAUUUUAUUAGUAGCUAUUACCUCUUAUCAGUAUAGCUAUAAUUACUUCUUUCUCUAUAUUUUUUUCUAGUUGUUUAUCCCAUUUCAAAAAUUAAGUUCCAUUUUUUCCCUAGUUGUAUGUUGUGGUUGUUUGUUCCUUCUACUCUGAUUCUACUACUUGUGAGAUUGUUAUUUACUGCAUAUUAAAUAGAAGUGGAGGUUUUGAAGGGAUUGAGAACCAUGCUUAGAGAAUAGAGAGAAAUAAAGAUAAGUUAAAAUGAUUGCUUUUUGUUUUACCAUUAAUUACUGCACUUGAUGUUGUUAUUUGGCUGAAAAUCUCCGCUUAUGGGAGAAAACAUGUUGUCUCACACAGUAUAUGAGUAAUGAAUUCAUGUUAACGUUUCAUUUUGGUGUUGAGGUAGUCGAUUUUAGGAAUCAAUUAUUGGUUAAUUAAUUGCCUAUAAUAUAUGUUAUGGGGUUUUCUGAGCUUUAAAUUAAGGGUCCAUGCAAAUUUUCUGUCAACCUUUGAAGCCUUGAGUAUAUAUAUAAGAUGUAGUUUUCUGAUCUACCAAUAUAUAAACUUAUAAGUUUGGCGAUAAGCGUAUAUAAAAGAGAGUGUGUGUGUGGCUUAAUAAUAAUAAGAAUAAUAAUAAUCAUUCUCUUUCUACUUAGCAGCUGGAUUAAUGAAUAACAAGUGGGAUUUAUUACUCGAUGGCAAGGACUAUAAAGCCUGUAGUAGGGUGUUUCCCAGGAGUGAUCAAAGGGAAGAGAGGACAAUUUGAAGCAUUUCAGGUUAGCUUAUUUCCUUGUUUUCUUGUUUUUUUUUACCUGGUCAUGGUUCCUUUUCUGAAGAUUGUUGUUGGGUAAUUCAAAUUUAUUGAAAUUGGCCUAUGAAUUACGUAGACAUGCCAGUUUUUCGGUGGUUAAGUUUGCUGAGACAUGGAGCAAGAACCCUAUCUGAUUAGCUGUAACUAGAAAAUGAAAAUGACAUCCUUUAAUCGUUUUUACUCUCUUUGUAAUACAAUAACAACAACAAAACAACCAGUGUAAUCCCACAAGUGAGAUCUGGAGAGGGUAGUAUGUACGUAGACUUGGAGAGCAUAGUGUGUACGUAGUAGCAGGGGGUACUUCAUUAAAGGGUCGAAAAAUUACACUGCAUAUAUAUACAUAUAUAUACAUAUAUAUACAUAUAUAUAUAUACCGGGUGUCCGAGUCUUUAAGAGCUCCAACUAAUCUCAGGGGUGUACAGGCCCUCGGCAAGGAGUUUCCCGCAAGCGCAAGGAGUUUCCCGCAAGCGCAACAGGGUUAAUUCCGAAGGCCCUUAGAAAUUAUUUGCACCCACUGCGUUUCGAACUUGAGACCUUGAAAGGGAGCAAACCCCAAGGCUCAAGUCAAUUGCCACCAUGCCAACUCCUGAGGGUUACACUGCAUAUAUAGGUAAAAUAUAGGCUUUAUAGGUAUAUAACAUAUAUUGAACACUUUUUGUCGGAGAAUUUUGUUCACCUUUUCCAAGUUUGAACACACUUGAGGAAAUUUCUGGCUUCGGCACUGCGUAGUAUACCUUACCCCCACCUUGAAGGUAGAAAGGCUGUUUCCGAUAGAUUUUUCCUCCUUGUAAUAAUUAUAGAAGUUAAAACAAUCUGGACAGAAAGUAUGUUGCUGUUUAAAAAUUAUGUGGUAUUGCAUACUGAUUGCUGAGAAUCAUUGCCUCGUUGAAGAUUUUGAGACUUGGGUCUUGGAUCUUCACUAACUUUUUGCUUGAAGUCUGCAGUUUCUUGGGUGAUUCAUUGAAAAAGGAUAAUUAUCAUUAAUAAAAGGAAUCAUGAUUUGCAGUUGUCAAUCCAACAAAAUUCAGAAAAUGCUCUAUGCCCUAACCAACUACAAAAUUAAAGGUGGCAAGGGCUGUAAUUCCUUUUGCUGAUCCUUUUGUCAGCACAGUGUAGUUUCGUUUCUUUAUCCUUCCUCCUGUGAUGUGAUUCUUGUAUGUGAGACACUGUACAGUUAAUUCGUCGUCAUCUUGAAACACAGAUUAUGAUUAAUUAAUCCCAUCCUUUUGGUUUCACCGGUUAAGUCACCAGUGGACUGAGUUUGCCACCAUAGCUUCAUGUGAGGGCUGCGCUUACUCUUACUGGUUUUAGACGACUUACACCUCUUCGCAUAAACUCAAAUGCCAACAUAAACAAGCCAAAAAAGAACACCAAGAAUAUCUGGAGCCUUGCUACAAUGUCAACCAUGACAGACACAUUGCUUCCCUCGGGAGAACUUUUUCUUGUAGGUGGGGUUAUACUCCAUCCUGAUACAGACAAUCAACUAUUAGAGUGAUGCAACUUAACCAAUAAGCUUAAAACAAAUAACGGGACUUGUGAUUCAUGGAAGUAUUUUGUGUCGUUCGCGCUCGUUACCAUAUUACAUUGUCAUUACCAUUGUUUGCUACUUGGUUGUUUUAUCCUAUCUCCACUGUUCUUUGCGCCGAGCAUCUAUCGGAAACAACCUCUAUCUUUAUAAGGUAGGGGUAAGGUCUCUCCCCAGACCUCAUUUAUGGGAUUGCACUGGGUCGUUGUCAUUCUUGUUGUUGUUGUUAUUGUUGUUAGUGAUUCAUGGAAGUUUAUACAUCCUACAGAGACAUUUUCCCUCUAUCUCCCCCUAUUCCAAAUAGUCUAGUUCAUUAUGCAGCCUUUUUCUUGGAAGAGUAGGUAAGAAAACAGAUAUAAGUACUUACCGGUGCUUUUCUUGGGCAAAUUUGUCCAGUCAUACGGGCUAAUCUUACUUGAAGAUGCCUUGAUCAACUCAAGAAGUGCGUCAUUGACCUAAAAUUUUUAUAAUCGUCAUAUACUUCCAUUAACAAUUAGCAUACAUAUGACUCCAGCCACACAAAUGCCAAUAGAUUGGACAUAUCUAAAAUUUUGUAUAUGCUGAUAAUCGUCAUAUACUUUCCAUUAACAAUCAGCAUACAUAUGACUAAAGCCACACAAAUGCCAAUAGAUUGGACAUGUCUAAAAUUUUGUAUAUGCUGAUUGACUCAUAAAUAUUGAAGUGCAAUAUAAUAAUUUCAUUUGAUCAUGAUAUCCAUGUGAAUGUUUGAUUCUCCUAUUUAUUUUAUCUUUUUCAAGAACCGACAAGUUGUCUGCUGUCGAAACAUUCAUUGAUGUUCUGCAUGACACCACAGGCCCUAGCUCUGAAAACAAAAAUGAAAAGAGAAAUACCUGCUAGAUCUAAACAGUCUGCAUUGUAUAAAAUACCCUCUCACUUGCUAAAAAACCAAAAGCAAUAAAAAUACUCAGGUACCUGAACACUUGGAAUAAUUAUCAGAUUAUAGUGUCCAGUGUGCUUGAAAGGAUUCUAGUAUGCGUUGACCCAUUUUCAACCCGUUUAAACAUGGGUAGGUAGAGUAAGGUUUUGUUACGGGCGGGUUGGGGGGGGUUAAAGCAAUUUGGGUGAAAUUUGGUAUUUAUGUGGUGUUCACAGAUACAUUGCACAAAUCAUUUAAAGCCACAGGAGAGUACAAAAACUUUGAGAAUCUCAUAGGGUAUUAUGCAUUUCAAAAUGUUCUAUUAGUGACUCCACCAAAAGGUUGAUUUUGGCCUAUUAGUGACUCCGCCCAGUGCCAAGUCAUUGAUUUUUUACAGCGGCCAACUGAUCCUCAGAAUCACUAGAAAAUUGCAGAUCAAUAGUUCUUAGAUGAGACCCAUUCCCCCAGCUCUUUGGAGCAAAUUCACAAUAUAUUAUAUAGAAUCAGAUGCUUUCUUGACCUAUAUCUUAGUAUGCAACUUUUACCUGAUAUGCAGAGCACCUAUGGUUCUGUCACUAUUAGAAUAAUAGAUGCAUAUAAUAAUACCUCUUCUGUCCUUUCAUGACUAACGAGAUGUCCUCCAGGAAGCUCUACCAUUCUAGCAUACGGAUGUAAUUUCUUCGCAAGACUCUUCGCGUGGCUUAAUUGAGCAAUGACGUCGUCCCUACACAGAAGAAAUAUUGAUUUAAAAUCUGGAUAACCUUUCAAAAGAAACGGAUUUACAUCUAAACAAUAUUUCUGGCUGUUUGAGAUUGUAUCUGUAGUGGAUAAUGCCUUCAAAUUACAG